rnacentral:rRNA from 1 species
CCUACGGGAGGCAGCAGUAGGGAAUAUUGCUCAAUGGGGGAAACCCUGAAGCAGCAACGCCGCGUGGAGGAUGAAGGUUUUCGGAUUGUAAACUCCUUUUGUUAGAGAAGAUAAUGACGGUAUCUAACGAAUAAGCACCGGCUAACUCCGUGCCAGCAGCCGCGGUAGUACGGAGGGUGCAAGCGUUACUCGGAAUCACUGGGCGUAAAGAGCGCGGAGGCGGGAUAGCAAGUCAGAUGUGAAAGCCUAUGGCUUAACCAUAGAACUGCAUUUGAAACUGUUAUUCUAGAGUAUGGGAGAGGUAGGUGGAAUUCUUGGUGUAGGGGUAAAAUGCGUAGAGAUCAAGAGGAAUACUCAUUGCGAAGGCGACCUGCUAGAACAUAACUGACGCUGAUGCGCGAAAGCGUGGGGAGCAAACAGGAUUAGAUACCCUAGUAGUC